CCGCCCGCCACGCCCACCGCCGAGUCCCGGAGGCUUCUGGGAGUUGCAGCCUGGGCUAGGGGUGCGCAUGCGCAGAGCGGCCAACCCUUGAGGGAGCGUUUCUGACGCUAGGUCAAGGGCGGUGUUCCUGUGUUCUUAGGGCCUCAGGAGGCGAGUCUGAGUGGAACCUGGCUGGGGUAGGCUGAAAGGUGACUUCGACGCUCUUCUGAGGCCUCAGACGUGUGUGAUGACUGCCCUGUAGAAUCAGUGCUGUGACCCCGAGUAACAACGCGCGCUUGAGUUGGUAUAAACUCCUGAAGAGUGUAGUCCUACAAUUUACAAGAAAAAGUUAAGUGUAAAAUAGCCUCAGGCAUGUCCUUCAGGAGGGAUUCCAGAGGCAUUGUUAUAGACGAUGACAGCUCUGUGUGUGUUAUUGCCACUGAAGACCUUCCAUGGGACGCGAUGUGGAGCUGGAAGUCAGUGAUAUUGAUGAUCCUGACACAGUCCUAGGAUAAGGCCCAUGCUAUAUAAGCUUGACUUCUGGAAGGCUGGAGACUGAGUAAAUUCAGGAGUUAAGUUCAGUCACCCAGGCACCACGGACACCAACAUUCAGACGAGAUUCCCUGUUUGGCACUACUUUGCACAUGCUGGCACACACCAUGGUGGGAAGAAUUAAGUGCUGUUGCCAUGCAAUUCUAAUGGAAGGGGAAAACUGGAAGCUUGUGCCUCGUCUCUCCUGGACUUUGUCCAGUGCCUUCUCCCAUUGUUCAUUGUUGCCUGCAUCCUUCGCCUUGAGUUUGAGUAUGGCAGCUCUUCUGGAUCCCAGGAGUCCUUCCAGCAAAUCAUUGAGCCUGAGUGGUCCUGGAGACCAGUGGCACACCUUUGUUCAAGAUAAUGGUUCACUUCUCAAUCAAUAAAAAUGUACUUGUAGACGCAUUCAUUGCUUUUCAUUGAUGGGAACAAAACUGUUUGAAACGGUACUAUUUUGUUUACUAAUCACUAGGCUCUAAUUCUUCUGUUGUAUUGACUGUUGCUUUGUAUUGGCUUUGGGUUUAUUUUGCUAUCUUUAUAACUUUGUGUAUUGAAUGCUUAUUCAUUGUUUUAUCAAGUUUAUCAACGCCAGCUCAUUAACAGGUAUUGAAUGGGUUCUGGGGAUAGAGUGGUGAACACAAAUUCUGGCCUUUACUCUUUGUUUCCUGUGUGCAUUGAAGGGUAUUAAAUUCCCAAAAAGGUCUGGCAGUAUCCCCAUGUUCUAAUAUACAGGCCUUUAAUUAUUAUUACUUUCUGAAGAGGCCCUGAUUUCCAUUUUUAAUUCCAUAUUUAAUUAAGGAUUUACACAAGAUUAUAGAUUUCUAAAAGGACGUGACACAAUAUCCCUGAGAUUAAUAACUGUAAAAUGGCUCUUUAUAAUGGGGCUCUAUUCUGGAGAGAUCAGGCAAUCACCACUAUAACCAAGUGAUGACACUUAGCAUCCUUAGUCCUGGAAAAAAUCAAACAUUAUAGGCUUUUUAGUGUGCACAUCAUCUGUGACAUAUUCUUGCUGAAAAUUCUUAAUCAUAACCUAGUAAACCUCUUGGUUUAACUUUAAAUAUACUAGAACUAUGAGGACUAAGAUAAAGAAAAAUAAGACUUCACAAUGAAACAAUUUUUAAAAUCCACAGUUGGGUGUGAUGGCUCAUGCCUGUAAUCCACUUUGGGAGGCUGAGGUGGGAAGAUCCCCUGAGCCCAGUAGUUCCAGACCAGCAUGGGCAACAUAGAGAGACCCCGUCUCCACAAAAAAAUAAAGUUAGCCAGGUAUAGUGGCACACACCUGUGGUCCCAGUUAUUUGGGAGGCUGAGGUGGGAGGAUUGCUUAAGUCCAGGAGGUCAAGGCUGCAGUUAGCUGUGAUUGCACCAUGGCGCUCCAUCCUGGGUGACAGAGCGAGACCCUGUCUCAAACGAAAAAACAAAACCACAAACACACAAAACAACCCAGAAUGUUCAGCAUUCUAUUAGACAACUUUCCUGUGGUCUUCAAAAAGCCAAACUCAUGAAAAAAAAAAACAGUAGAGAUAUUGUUUUAAAUGAGUUGGCAAAUGUUCUCUAGAAAGGUCAUGAUAUUAUAUAUAGUAGGUUUUGUGACCAUUGCAAAUGGUCUCAUUGCAAUGACUUAUCUCUGACAUGGUAGUAAGAAGAAAACAUGUAAACAAGUGAAUGUGGUAGUGUUGCAGUAAAACUACAAAAUCCACUGGCAGGUUGCAAUUAGCCUAUAGGCCAUAGUUUUCCAGCCACUAUUCUAAAUUAAAAGUGAGUAAUGCUUUAUCAUAAAGGCAUAAACUAGAGCAAAUACCAGUUUGAAAAUGACCAAAAAGAUAUAACUUGGAUAAAUUUUCAAAAUUUGAAUACAGGUUAGGCAUUAGAAUAUGAAAAUAUUAUUAUUAUUAUUUUUGAGACAGAGUCUCGCUCUGUUGCCCAGGCUGGAGUGCAGUGGCACAAUCUCGGCUCACUGCGAGCUCUGCCUCCCGGGUUCAUGCCAUUCUCCUGCCUCAGCCUCCCAAGUAGCUGGGACUACAGGUGCCCGCCACCAUGCCCAGCUAAUUUUUUGUAUUUUUAGUAGAGACGGGGUUUCACUGUUUUAGCCAGGAUGGUCUCUAUCUCCUGACCUCGUGAUCUGCCCACCUUGGCAUCCCAAAGUGCUGGGAUUACAGGCUUGAGCCACCGCACCUGGCCAAAAUUAUUAUUUUUCUUAUGUAAUUAGAAAUCUGUCUCUUGGCCGGGCACGGUGGCUCAUACCUGUAAUCCCAGCACUUCGGGAGGCCGAGGCAGGUGGAUCACCUAAAGUCGGGGGGAGUUCAAGACCACCCUGACCAACAUGGCAAAACCCCGUCUCUACUAAAAAUACAAAUUUAGCCAGGCAUGGUGGCUCAUGCCUGUAAUCUCAGCUACUCAGGAGGCUGAGGCAGGAGAAUCACUUGAACCCGGGAGGCAGAGGUUGCCGUGAGCCGAGAUCGUGCCAUUGCACUCCAACCUGGGCAACAAGAGCAAAACUCCGCCUAAAAAAAAAAAAACAAAAAAAAAGAAAUCUGUCUCUUUGGGGGAUUCAUUUUGAUAUAUUGAAAAGUGAAGCAUCAUGAUGUUUACAACUGUCCAAUGAUGCAGCAAAAUAUACAAAACAGAAAAGUCAUAUGACAUAAUAUUAACAUAUAUUUGCUGUACUGUUAUUUCAGCUUUUCUUUAUGUUUCUAAUUUUUCAUAAAUUUGGGGGAAAUGGCAAAAUAGAUAUCCUUUGGCUAAUUUCUAAUCAAUUUUGAAAUGUGGAAGUGGAAUGUAAAUCAUUGGCUAAUUUAACAUUUUUUUACACUUUCUAAAAGUAUAAAUAUAAAUUUCAUUCAAGGAUUAAGUGUUUGAUUCACCUUAAGACCUCAGAAUGAAGAUGCUCUCAGGUUUUUUACAUUUUAUUAGAGUAGUUCAGAAAGAAAAAAUUCACAUUAAAAAAGGGGUAAGCAGUUACAUGAAACGUUCCUAAAUUCAUUAGACCCAUAAGAGUUUCAUCUCAAAACACAAAUGGUAUUAGAAACAGUCGCUAAUGUUUAUCGAACAUGAACUAUUAUGUCGAAAACUUUCCUAUGUUUUCCACAUAAAUGAACUGAUUUAGUUCUAACAGCCACUAUAAUGUAGAUAUUAUUAGUAUCGCCAUAUACAAAUGAGAAAAAACAAGGAGUAGAAAGACAAUUAGAAUGGGUAAGAUCGUACAAAGGCUAAACGCUUUCCUACGUCUGUCAGUUACAUUAGCAGAGGUUUUCUGUGAUAUGAAUUUACUCAAGUUUAAUAAUGAUUUGUGCUGGAAAGCUUUUAUACAUAAAACAAAUAAACAAGGUUUUGUGUGUUCUCUUAAUAUUCCUUUAGUAUAAAUAUUCUGAGAAUCCAUAAAUAGUGUUGGGAAAGGCCGUCAUGCAGUCUUUCAGCCCUCACAUGGCCACAUAAGACUGAGCCUUGGGCCUGGAACACUUCCCUACCAUGAGAUUCAAAAGCCCUCAUAGCCUGUGCUGGGAUUAUUGACUUGUGUGGGACUGUAUUUCCCUGUUUUGGACUUAUUGUAUACUCUUUUGUUCUGCUUAAGCACAUCUGUCAGUGGCCUUGAAGCACAUUCCCAGCAUUAUGUAUUUCAGACCCCAGGGGGUCAAGGGAUGAAGUCCUGUCACUGCAGCACAAAGUGGGGUGUGUGCAGUUGCUAGUGUCUUCCAUAUCAGCUGCACAGUGGAACUGCCGGCUAGGGGGACUGACACAUUGCAAGCGGCACAAUCUUAUGCACUCUUUCUCCUCUCUAGCUUUAAGUAAAUGCUGAACCACUUGAGCCUGGUGUGCUUGUAGUCUGUCUUCCACAACCUCAAACCAUGUACCAGUCUCUUCCCUGGGUGGCACUUACCUGCCUUUUUAACCUUGGCUGCACAGUCUGGCCACACAGUGAACAGUGAAACAUAGAGGAAUGCCAUAAAAUACUUUCUUUUAUAAAAUACAACAUAAAUACUCUGAACACUUGAGUCAUAAAUUAAAAACUUCAAACAUUUAUAUUCCAAAAGAGUUCAUACCAGUAUAGAUUAUUUUAUGUCCUGUAAAAACUGAUCCAUGCAUAAAAGCCUUCUCACAUUUUCUUCAUUCAACUGUUUCUCAGUGGUAUAAUUCAUUCAUAUACUGUACAUUGUCUAUUAUAUGUAUAUAUGCCAUAAAGUAUUUCACUGGUAUGAAUUCUCUGAUAUACUUGAAGGAUUGAACUAAGCCUAAAGGACUUCCCACAUUUGUCACAUUCAAAGGGUUUCUCACCAGUAUGCAUGCUCUGAUGUACUUUGAGACUUGAACUGAGCCUAAAGGACUUCCCAUAUUUGUUACAUUGAAAGGGUCUCUCACCACUGUGAAUACUCUCAUGCUGACUCAGUCGUCCAUACACACUAAAAGCCUUCCCACACUCCUUACAUUCAUAGGGUUUCUCACCAGUAUGAAAUCUAUGAUGUAUAGUAAGUUGAUGGUUACUCCUAAAAGCUUUCCCACACUCUUUACAUUCACGGGGUUUCUCACCAGUAUGAAUUCUUUCACGUCUAACAAGAUGUGACGUGUGACUAAAGGCCUUCCCACAUUCUUUACAUUUGUAGGGUUUUUCACCAGUAUGAAUUCUGUCAUGUUGUGCCAGGUUUGAGGCUUGACUGAAGGCCUUCCCACAUUCCUUACAUUCAUAGGGUUUCUCACCAGUAUGAAUUCUCUGAUGUUUCCUAAGUCUUCCAACUUCACUAAAGGCCUUCCCACAUUCAUGACACACAUAGGAUUUCUCACCGGUAUGAACUCUUCCAUGUUGAGCAAGGUUUGUGGCAUGACUGAAGGCCUUCCCACAUUCUUCACAUUCAUAGGGUUUCUUACCAGUAUGAAUUCUCUGAUGUACUCUAAGGUCUGUAAGACGACUAAAGGUUGUCCCACAGUCUUCACAUUGAUAGGGUUUCUCACCAGUGUGAAUUCUUUUGUGUAUUCUAAGGUCUGUAUGAUGACUUCCCACAUUCCUGGCAAUCACAGGCCUUCCCACAUUCCUGGCAAUCACAGGGUUUCUCACCAGUGUGAAUUACUUGAUGUACUCUAAGGUCUGUAUGACGACCAAAGGCCUUUCCUCAUUCCUUACAUUCAUAGGGUUUCUCUCCAUAUUGAAUUCUCUGAUGGAGAGUAAGAAAUGAAUGUUUUCUAUAAAUGUACAUGUUCCCGUAGUUGAUUAUUUCAUACCUCGAAUCCAAAUCUGAAAGAAGAAAAACACUUUGUUUCCUUGACCAGAAAAAGUAAAUGUUGUAUGGUAGAAUUAAGAGAAAAUUGAUAAUCUCAUCUAUUAGAUAUGAUAUAAAGAACUCUAAAAUACAGUUAUAUGGACAGAGGGUUCUAGAAGAUGGCAGAGCAGGAAGCACUAGGAAUGUGUCAUCCCACCUAGACAACAAUUGUACUGGCAGAAUCUACCUUAUGUGACCAUUUUGGAACCUGAAUAUAUUCAAAGCUUGUAACUUCCA